CCCUGAUUUUGUAUCCAAUCUGAAACAAUUUCUCCUUUCUUUGCAAUUCUUUUUCGUUGUAGUCUUAAUUGCAAUCAAGUAGCCCCGUUUAGUUUUUUUCGUGUUCUGUUCAUUAAAUCCUUUUCUGCUGUAAAGUUCGCAGCUUGGUUCGUUUCAGCGCUCUCUCCAGUAUGUCUAUGAACGACUGUUUGUACCCAGAAAUGCUCGUGAGGUUACUCGCGUUGGUUAUUAGUGCUGUUUCGGAUCGUUGUAUUUACUGAUUCUAAGCCACUAGCUAGAGAGAGAAGAGAUGUCGUGAGGAAAUAUGAGGUACAGGGUUUGCUCUAUUAGUUCUGCGGGGGAAAAGCUACAGGAGGGAAAAUAUUAGGGCUUUAAUUUCUAGAUUUUUGUAGUCGAAGUUUAGGAUCUUGUAAAAAAAAAAAGAAGGUAUUCCCCUCCUCCUCUAUCUGUUCUCCAAAAGAUAGGUUGAUUUGGCUGUAUUUUAUAAGGGGUUGCAAAGUAGAGAAAUCAGUUCUUAGGUUUUAAUUAUUAUCAACAUUUUUAUAAUUUUAGAUUUAACAACAUUAGCAGUUCCAUUUUUUGGCCUAUAAUAUGAAGUCCUGUUAAUUUAUGUCCCUGGUGCAACUGUUAAGAAUAAUGUUUGUUUUAUUCAAUAACAUGUCAAUAUCUGAUUGGAAAUUCAAAGAAGUUAUUCGGCUUCCCAAUUUUCUGCAAAACCCCAUGUUCCUAAUAUGAGUCACUAUGCAGUGUUUUAAAGCAUUAAUCAUAAUGGUUGUACCAUUCAUGCAUCAUUAAAACAAAUCGAAACUGCUCAUAUGGUGAGAAAAGAGGAAUUAGCGUGAUGCCAGACAAAGCUGCAAUUGAGAUGGAGAAACUUUCAGAGAUUUUAUGGGACAAAUUGUAGGAAUAUAUUUGAUACUCAAAAAAAAUAUUAUCAUAGUCAGAUUCCCAAUGCAAAGGAAACAAGUCAUUAGUCAUUAAGAAGGGCAAUCACAUUAGAGGAUCCCACUAGGGCAUCCAUUGAUACUUUAUUAUAAGGUAAGAUGUAUUAUUCUGGGAUAUGUGGAGCAUCUUUGGAAUGUUCUAGAAGUGCAUAUGGUGUUUGCACAGACCAAGUUGUCAUUGUCAAAAUGUGUUGCAAGUGGUAUUAUGGAUAUAAAUGUUAUCUCAUUAAAGGACAUCAGUUUACUCAGCUGGUCAUAUCUAUUUUGUUCAAAAUUGUUUGAAUUCAAUUUAUCUGAUUUUACUUCCAUUCUUCACCCACAGAGUGAGAAUGUGCAAAUUAGGCAUGUAAACCAGAAGCCCCACCUACCUUUUUUUUUAAUCAUGUAAUUGAGUGAACAGCAUAUCCAUAUCCCUAUUAUUUUUUGGCCCAAAAUCAUAAUUAUAUAUAUUUUUUUAUGUUUGAUUUUCAGAGUUAGAACUACAUUAUGUGAUAUUAGAGCAAAUUGAUUCAACACCAUGGAUACUAUUUGAAACUCUAAGAUUAUGCAGGAAAACCACAACUUGCUUGACUAUAUUGAUGACAAGAAGAAGAUGUGCUUAUUUUUGUGCGGUAUUACAGUUACAAUGAAGAUAGAAUAGAUUAUACCAAGCAUCAGAAAAGGGUUGGACAAUUGAGGGUUCAAGUAUGGAUAAAUUUGUCACCUGUCAUUUGUGGGAAGACAAUCCAAUUGCUAUAUUUGACCUAAUGGAUGGCAGUUUGAUUGUGGAAGAUUUUAACAUGGUAGAAACAAAAAAAGUACCGCUAAUCCCUAUUUGAUUGUGAUAUGUUGGAUCGUAGGGACAAUGUUAUCUGAUGGUGGAUGGGAUGCUUCGUGAUCAAGGAUCAAGAGAUGCUGAAGUAGCCACGUCAGUGAUCCGAUUACGAGAAAAGUCAACACUAGCCUUUUUUAUCAGAUUAUGAAGUUGGAGCUGAUCACAAAAUCUCAAACCAGGAUCGAUGCAGCGAAAGUGUGUUGGCAUGACUAGAUUUAUAGAUGAGGUUUAACUUAGAACUUCCAAUCACCAGGGAUUUAAUCAAAUUUUAUCUGGAAAACGUUCGAGGUUCAUAACUUGAAAUGAGCACUUACUCUUGGCUUAUUAUAUAUGUUGUUGGAUUGCCACAAUAAAAUCAUUUUCGGAUGCUUUUAAAGCGCCGAGAGGUUGUCUAGACCAAGUUACUAUGAGCCGAGAUUGUUAUGCUUGGAAUUACAUCAACUCUACUGGCAACUACUUUACUUAAACUUGAGUAUAGCUCUCUUAUGCUAUCUUUAGGAUUUUUUUGGAGCUCAAACUAUGUGUGAAAUUUGUAUUUUUAAAAAAAAAUCAGUAACUGGACUUGGAGGUGGUGGAUUACAUGCAACCUAAAAAACCCAUAGCAAUUCCCAUCAUUUACAGAAAGAAGGCCAAACUGAAGCUGUUCAACAGAACUAUAGUGUCUGCUUAGAAUUGCAGCUUGGUACAGUAAUAGAAAGUAAAUUCUGAUGUACCAAAAGUGAAGUUUGUAUCCAUAAAUCCAACAAGAAUUCAUGUAAAGCAGUCCUGUUUAAAGUGUUUCAUAAAAGGAUUCCAGAACUUGCAUUGAACCUACUGCUAUUAUGAAUUACUGCAAAUGGCAUUGUAGAGGACAUCAAAGAAUCUUUUAGGAUGCUGCAAUAGAACAUCUCUUAAGUGCAAAGCGCCAGCAAACAAACAUAGAAGGCAAGUGAAGUUUAAGGAUGGUUUUGCAUGAAUUGAUUUCCGAGAAAGAUAUGAACCAUGGAGCUAUAUCAAGUUUAGAUAUCUGCUAAUGGUUCAUUCCAGGUGUUGAAUAUGUUGAAGCAGAUCAGAGGUUCAGAUAUUUCUGAUGUUGAUGUGCUAUUUUACCAUAGAUUAUCUUGAGAAAUAAAUGUAGACUCAAUCACGGCAGGCCUCCUUUUGAACCUGGGAAACUGAUGGGACAAUCUGUAUGUUAGAAAUGCGAAGUAUGGGUAUAGGUUACGCAGCUUGAUCAUCCUUCACAGGGUUGUGAGUCCUCUGACCAUCCAUGGCAACCAUCCAGUUCAUACAAGGUACAAGGAUGCUUCUUUUGCUUGAAUGAUAUUGAAAUUUCGUGACUUGUACCUUGUUUUUUGUUUCUCCACAUAGUUAUCAUGUGGAGAAGGUUUGCAUUAUUUUUGUUAAGGCCAUAUAGUCAUGGACUUCGAUACAUAACUUGAUAUGGGCAUAUCCUAUCAAAAUUGAGGAAAAGGGUAAAACAUGUUUGUCUUUGUUCUGUUACAAAUUGUAAUCGAAGAGGAACUAUCUAUAAUAUUGUUAGCGAUGAAGGCAUGACUAUGAUAAGAAUGUUAUGAUGUAUAAACCAUGAUUCAACGAUCGUCCUAGGAGGAGGAGUUUAAUCAUGUUGUUUAAUAAGCCAGGACAUAUUCUUAGAGUGUUACACUUGAAGUAUAGUACCUAUAGAUUAGAAGUUCUUACUCUACAAGAUCACCAGUGGCUCCAAGCAAACAAACAAUUUCGUUAGCUAUCAACGGAGCAGAAUUGUUCUAUCACAGAAGAAAGCCCACUUUUGAUGAUUGUCAUGAAGAUUUCCAACCAUAUUUUUGAUUUAGUUAAGUAUACACCCUUACAUUUUCCCUCCAUAUACUCAUGACAGAAAUCUGAGCCAAACAUCAGCUUUUUGUAAGCUGUGGAAAGAAAAGGUCGUGGAUUCAAUACCUGUCAGUUAAAGCAUCUGAAAUCAACAUAAAACUUGAUAAUUCUAUGUCUUGACUGUUUUAAAGAUAAAACGAAGUCUUACUUUCAACAAAGGCAGUAGUUGUGAAUUCAUGAGCAUGUCCAUUGGUUCAUACCUCACCUUAAUCGCAUGUCACUGGUCACAAUCAUUCCUUAUUAAUAUGAUAUGCCAUUAGUCACAGGUCUUCACUGUCUUAUUCUUGCCUUUCCCCCUACCAGAUUUAUGAUAUGUCUCUCCAUGGCAGAAUCCUGGUGUAAAAUCCACCUUGAGUUUGGACUUGAAAAGCGAGGCAAUUUAUUCAUGCAUUCUCUUGUUCUAUGUAUGACUUAUAUGGAUUCUAAUGCUGAACCCAAGGCAUAAGUCAUUUCUAAAUGUUUGCAUCUUGCUUUUUUGGUAAUUAUAACUUCAGAGUUCAUCACUGCUCCUUUAUGAUUCAGAUUUUUAGUGAAAGUGUUUGCAUAAUUGAGAAUUAGAAUAUCCUGUCCUAGCAUGGACCAGCAUUCAUGAACAAGCUACUGCACUUGAGAGACAUUUUAGCUUAUCCUACCAUACUUUCAAGCGACAAGCGUUAUCCUAUCUAUAUGAGUCGGAACUUUGAAGGUGCCCUUAAACUGCCAAGAAUUUUGUGGUUAGGAUACCAUAAAUCGACACUGAUCAGGAAGUAGAUGCAAUUCUCUCCAGUAUGUAAAUAUAUGAAUUGAAUAAUAAGAUACUAUUUACAGUUGACCACAAACCAUGAUAGAGGGGACCAUUAUAGCUGUUUGCCAAUUUGGUGGCGAGUUUGUCUCAAAUGACGAUGGAACUAUGUCCUACUGUGGUGGAGAAGCUCAUGCAAUAAAUAUCAGCUGUGACAUGAAGUUUGAUGAUCUCAAGUCAGAAUUAGCAAGUAUGUUUAACAUUGACAGUAGUAACUUGUCUAUCAAGUACUUUCUUCCAGGCAACCAACGAACUCUUAUUGCAAUAUCUAGUGACAAAGAUCUAAGGCGCAUGGUUGAUUUUAAUAUGAGUUCUAUAACAACAGAUCUAUAUGUCUCAAGUAAGGUUGACAGCAGUUACGAGGACUGUAUGCUUCCUAGGGCAUGUAGGAAUAUUGCUGCUGACUCAGGUACCUCUAUAGUUGACAAAGUUGGUGCUCGCCGUAAUGUCAGAUCACAGAAGCUUACAGCUAUCAGCAGAAGUAGCAAAAGGGUGCCUAGGGGUAGGAUUUCUGUGGUGGUUGCAAAUACGCCUAAAGUUGUGACUGGUUCCACCAGUGAAAAUAUUAGACGGACAAAAGCAAACACUGCAGGAAAAAGUAAUGGGAGGAUUGUUGCAGCUGAUUCAGUUACACCUGCUGCCUCUGCCCUGACUAUGGACAUUGUUAGACAGCAGAGAUUGGUCUCUGCUGACAAGACUGAAGGCGGGGCAACUAGGAGAACUCUAGCUGACUCAAACGCACCUAUCAUUGUAGCUGUAGACACUGCUGAGAAUGUUGGACCACAGACUGCUCCUUGGGAUUGUGUCAUUACUGAAGUUGGGCAAGAAUUUGAUAACGUGAAAGCCUUUCGUGAUGCACUGUGUAAAUAUGCUUUUGUCAAAGGUUUCACAUACAAAUAUAUAAAGAAUGACAAUGUUCGUGUGACUGUUAAAUGCACUGUAGAGACUUGUCCAUGGCGGAUACAUGCAUCAGGGUCAGCUCGUAAGCAGAAAUUUAUGAUCAAGAAAUUCAACAAUGUACACACAUGUGGAGCAGGAACUGGUGAUGAUGGACACCAGCGAGCAACGAGACAUUGGUUAGCAAGUAUUAUUAAGGAAAAGUUACUUGACAAUCCACUGUCAAAACCCAAAGAGAUUGCAAGAGAUAUUUAUCGAGAUUAUGGAAUUAAUUUGAACUACACUCAAGCUUGGCAUGCAAGAGAGGCUGCCCAGAAAGAGCUUCAUUUCUUGCAGGAAGAGGUAUGCAAUCGGUUGCCUCAGUUAUGUAAAAAAAUAAUGGAGGCUAAUCCUGGCAGUAUAACCACAUUAGCUGCAUCAGUUGAUUCAAAGGUUCGUCGCAUAUUUGUCUCUUUUCAUGCCUGUCUUCAUGGUUUUGAGCAUGGCUGCCGUCCUCUUCUUUUUCUUGAUAGAAUUCCUCUAAAAGCAAAUAAUCAAUGGAAGUUACUAGGUGCAGCUGCCAUCGAUGGAGAUGAUUGUAUCUUUCCGGUUGCCUUUGCAGCAGUGGAAGCUGAGACUCAUAAUAGUUGGCAUUGGUUUUUAGUACAGUUAAAACAUGCAGUAUCAACAUCUUGUAGCAUAACGAUUGUGUCUAGUAGACAGAAGGGCCUAGAUGAGUCCGUGCCUAGAGUUUUUGAGGAUAGUUGCCAUGCAUAUUCUCUGUUUCAUCUAAUCGAAGAAUUGAAAGCAGAGUUGAAGAAGGGUUCUUAUUCAGAUCAAGUUAAGGAUGCAAUUGUUGAUGAUUUCAGAAGUUGUGCCCAAGCUUAUGUAGUUGAUGACUUCAAUACAUGCAUUGGUAGAAUAAAGAAUAUUUCAAGAGAUGUUGCUGAAUGGGUAAUGUCCACUAAGCCUGAACAUUGGUCAAAUGCCCUGUUUAGAGGUUCACGGUAUGAUCAUCUCUCAUCGAACAUUGUAGAAUCAUUAAGCAGAUGGAUUGCAGUGAAAGAUGAGUCAACAAUAGUGAAGUUGAUUGAUGCAUUGCAUGUUAAGAUAAAGGAUGUUAUGGAUUCUCGUAGGCAAACUUCUAGCACAUGGGAUGGAACACUGACGCCAUCAAUGGAGCAAAAAUUGCAGAAGGAGAUCCCCAAGGCCAGCACACUUCUUGUUUUAUGUUCUUCUGAUUCUGUGUUUGAGGUUCGUGGUAGUACAAUAAACGUUGUUAAUAUUGCUAGUUGGGAAUGCACAUGUCAGAGGUGGCAGGUUACGGGAUUACCUUGCAUGCAUGCUAUUGCAGUUUUCAAUCGUGUUGGUAAAUCUUCUUAUGACUAUUGCUCGAGAUAUUUCAGAUGUGAAAGCUAUCGCUUGGCCUAUUCACAAUCAAUUAACCCAGUACCAGAUGUUGAGAGCAUUAGUUCUGUUUCAAAUUCAUAUCCCCCUCGUUCUCAGCACCCACUGGGACGGCGAAAGAGAAGGCGAAUUAAUCCUCAUAAGACAAAUAUUAGGCCACUCCACUGUAGUAGGUGCAAAGAAGCUGGGCAUAACAAGGCAACCUGUGAAGCAUAGUUGUAGAUUCAUGUUAUAGCUGUUUAAGUUCUAUAAUGGUAUCUUCGUUUGACCCUUUAAAAAUCAUCUGGCAUGCAUGGCAUGUGUUUUUCUCCUGAUAUUGAAGAGGUUUUUGCUUAUCUAAGGCUUAUAGAUGUAUCAUUUACUUUAUUAUUGAUCCUUGUUAUAAGUAGAUGUUGUGUAACAUAAAAUGACUACCCCUCUCUUUUCAUAACAUCUGCUUUUUGAUGAUUUGGAGGAUCGACACACAUUUUCUGUAAAUCAAGCAGCAGCUAUCUCUACUAGUUCAUAGGAAAUGCUAAUCAGUCACUUCUCUAAAUGUGCAGGCAAACUUGAAUUAUUUAAGUAUUUAUCCAUUGGAGUUUUCAAAAUAGUUUCGCAACUUGAUGACAAAGAAAAGCAACAUUUUAACUCAUUAAAUUAGUUUUUGCUAGCUUAUAUAUAACCCAGACAUGGAGAAAUUUAAAUUAAUAUGUCAACAGGGUUCAGGUCCUGUUAAAAUCGCUAUCCUGGCUAGCUGGCGACGAUAUUGUCAACUGUCCGUAUAUUUUUCUGCUUUGGCCCCUAGAAACUGUCUAUUUUUCUGCUUCACAUAUUCCUCUUCCUUCUAUAUUUGAUGCUUUCCGUUUUAUUUCUGAACUGUAGGCUUGGUUGAUCUCUCUUGGGCUUUUACUGUGAGCGAGCAAAUUGGACGUGCCGUAUAUCAGUCAAACACAGAGGAGUCUAACUGAACAUAUCACCAUAAAGCAGGGUACUAAGUCAUGAUAACAAAAUGCUGACUCAAUCAGCAUCAUUUCUCAAAGAAAAAUUAGGUAUUUGCUUUUUGUUUGCUCAUGGCUAGCUGAUUCUUUUGAGCUUUUCACUCCAAAAUUAGUGGCUUUUUGAAGAAUCUUUAUGAAAUGUCCCUUUUUUGCACCAAAAUAAUGUUAGAAGCCUCUCAUUUGUAGCUCUCUUUCCAACCAAUGAUUUGAUUAAAGUGAUUUAUUCCUCUCCAACCACCCCCCCCCCUCCCCCCCAACCCUCUUUUUUUCUGGGAGUCUCCAAUUAUUUGCAUCAGAAGUAUAUCACAAGCAUGAGAUUUCAAAUUCUAUUAGCAGUUCAAGCAGUCCGAGAACUUCCAUGAUUAAAUUCAUAAUCUGAUGCUUGGAAGAAAACUAGGAAUCAAUGUUCUAGUCUGUUAGCUAUCCUCUCCAGAAGGGAUUCCAAGGUGCUCUGGUACUUUUCAGAUGACUUGGCAUUAUAUUAAUGUGCAGGGUCUCCACGGUUGCUUUUGUUUGAGAUCUUUGCUGAUUCUUGUUUGUGCGCUAGAAUAGUCAGCUAAGUUGCUCCUCAGAACUUCUUUAGGAACCAUCCUUUUGGCUAGUAGAGCGUUUCUGUUGUUGAAGCCACAUUUGCCCAACUUCCUGAAGACACCCUGAUAGCUUUGUCGAUCAAUAUUGGGGAAGGUACUGCUUUCAUCUUAGGAGUCACUGAACGAGACUGACCGGCUGAUACUGACUGCUCGAUGAAAUCUAGAAGCUGUGUAUGGAUGAUCCAGCUGCAAGUCUAGUAUCUCAAGGGAGCUGUUAUUACCAAUCCAUUUUGCCUGUGGCAAUUGGCUCUCGUCGUGGAUGGCUCUUUCUCUUAUUUGUGAAUCGAUAAAUUUUCUCUUUCGUGGGCCCUCUCUCUCCAUGUAUGGAUGUUUGUAUGUAUAUAAGCCUGUCUAUGUUUGUGUUAUGUCUGUCAUGGAUGGGUGUAGUAGGGUUGCAAAGGAACCAAGUGGCUGAUGCGCAUUUUGGGCUCAGCUUGCUAAGAGCUUGACUUAGAGCCCGGUGCGAACGCUUACAUUAUAUGAAAAUAUCUGGCUAUAAAGCUCGGCUCAUA